CCGACCAUAGCUCAGUUGGUAGAGCGGAGGACUGUAGUUGGUAAUAGAUUUCCUUAGGUCACUGGUUCGAAUCCGGUUGGUCGGA
rnacentral:tRNA from 1 species